AGCUACAAUUGCACCACUGCACGCCAGCCUGGGCAACACAGUGAGACCACAUCUCAAAAAAAGAAAGCAAAGAAAACUCUUCAUUAGAAACUGAACAUGCUCGCUGGGAAUGAUAUUCAGGGCACAGGGCAAUUCCUUACAGGGGCACACACCCAAGGGCACUGCUGCCACCACAUGGGAAGUUGUGACGGGAGGGAGGAGACUGAGGGCAGGACACAAGACAUGGAGACACACAUUCUGGUCUGUCUGACCAUGGAGCUCUGUCCACACCCAGGCUGCCUGCUGGCUCCCAACCACCACACACAGUAUCUGGCGUUUCUCACAGGUGUCGGCUUCUCUCUCUCGAGUCCAUCUGCUGGCCGUGGACCUGGCUAUUCGGGGCAGGCCCAUCCUGCCCACCUCCCCACACUCUCUCAAGCCUCUGUCUCUGAGCACUGCAGGUUUUGUAGUGUUCCCUCGUCUACCUCUGAGAGGCCAGGCUGACUGAAGAGCUCCUGAGAAAGCCACCAGGACCCACUGCUAAAGGGGUGUCCUUAUGAAGGAGGCAAAGGGAGUUCUGACACGGAGAAGAGUGGUCCAUGUGAAGAUGGAGGCUGAUAUUGGAGUGAUGCAGCCACACUCCAAGGAACACCCGGAGCCGCCAGAAGCCGGAAGAGGCAAGGAAAGACCCCCACCCAGAGCCGUCAGAGAGCACAGUACUGCUGACACCUUGAUUUCAGACUUCUGGCUUCCAGGACUGUGAGAGUAAAUUUCUGUUGUUUUAAACUG
rnacentral:lncRNA from 1 species